UCUCUCAAGAGUAAAUAAACAUUAAAAAAAAUUCUUUUUAAAUCACGAUGCCAAGAGAAUAUUUUGUGUCAUUUAAAAAAUUGCUUUUUUAUACAGUGGAAAGUGCUCUGAAUCACUGCGAGUCAAACAUUUUGUCAAGAUGAGACUGAAAGAUGAGAAAGCUUAAUUUCCUGUGUAUUAGAGGACCAGUCUCAUAGGAAAAGAGCAAAAGAGUUGCGAGCUGUCUAUGGUCAUGGUACUUUCUACUGCUUAUACAGAAGAGUCCUUGCCUAUCAGGAAGAAAGGGACCCAUCGUGUUGUGGCACUGACUUACAAGCAACUAUGCCGCUUUAAUGGAGGCGGGUGUGAAGGAUUGUAAGAGCAUAUAUUUCAUCAGUGUCUCAAAGUGAUAUCUGUUCACUGCAGCGCUAUUCGCAAUAGCCAAGAUAUAGAAGCAACCUAAGUGUCCAUCGACGCAUGAAGGAAUAAAGGAGGUGGAGUAUGAAUCUGCCCUGAGGAAGAAGGAAACCCUGCCCUCUGCGACCACAUGGAUGGCCCUUAAGGGCAUUAUGCCAAGAAAGAUGAGCCACACAGAGAAAGACAAAUACUGAUAUCAUGUAUAUGUGGAAUCUAAACCAUCUAAAAACAAACUCAGAGAAACUAAGAGUAAAAUGAUAGUUACCAGGGGUUGGUGGGGGGGGAGUUCGGGAGAUGUUGCUUACGGUGCAAACUUAUAACCAGUAGGUAAAUAAGUUCUGGAGAUCUAAUGCAUAGCCUGGUGAUUCGAUUCAAUAAUACUGUAUUAUAAACCUCAAAGCUGUAAAGAGACUAGGUCUUCAUUGCCUUCACCGCAAAAACAAAAUUGUGUGAUGAGGUAGAGAUGUGAGCCAACACUAUGGUGUAAUCAUAUUACAAUAUAUAAAUGUAUCCAACCAGCACACUGUAUGCCUUAAACCUACACAGUACUGUAUGCCAAUUAUAUCUUAAUAAAAGAGGUUUUUAAUUUA